AUUGAACGCUGGCGGCAAGCCUAACACAUGCAAGUCGAACGAGUGGCGGACGGGUGAGUAAUGUCUGGGAAACUGCCUGAUGGCGGGGGAUAACUACUGGAAACGGUAGCUAAUACCGCAUACCAUCGGAUGUGCCCAGAUGGGAUUAGCUAUGAGGUGGGGUAAAGGCUCAACUAGGCGACGAUCCCUAGCUGGUCUGAGAGGAUGACCAGCCACAAUGGAACUGAGACACGGUCCAGACUCCUAAGGGAGGCAGAAGGGGGGAAUAUUGCAAAAUGGGCGAAAGCCUGAUGCAGCCAUGCCGCGGGUAUGAAGAAGGCCUUCGGGUUGUAAAGUACUUUCAGCGGGGAGGCGUUACCCGCAGAAGAAGCACCGGCUAACUCCGUGCCAGCAGCCGCGGUAAUAC
rnacentral:rRNA from 1 species